GACGAACGCUGGCGGCGUGCCUAACACAUGCAAGUCGUGCGAGAAAGUUCCUUCGGGAGCGAGUAAAGCGGCGCACGGGUGAGUAACACGUAGGUAACCUGCCCCCCAGUCUGGAACAACUAGAGGAAACUCUAGCUAAUGCCGGAUGAGACCACGAUCCCUUCGGGGUUGCGGCCAAAGAUGGCCUCUACUUGUAAGCUAUCGCUGAGGGAUGGGCCUGCGGCCAUUAGCUUGUUGGUGAGGUAACGGCUCACCAAGGCUGUGAUGGCUAGCUGGUCUGAGAGGAUGACCAGCCACACUGGGACUGAGACACGGCCCAGACUCCUACGGGAGGCAGCAGUGGGAAUAUUGCGCAAUGGCGAAGCCUGACGCAGCGACGCCGCGUGGGUGAUGAAGGCC
rnacentral:rRNA from 1 species